UACGGAAGGUGCAAGCGUUAAUCGGAAUCACUGGGCGUAAAGAGCGCGUAGGCGGUUAGAUAAGUUGGGUGUGAAAGCCCUGGGCUCAACCUGGGAACUGCAUUCAAUACUGUCUGACUAGAGUGUGAUAGAGGGAGGCGGAAUUCCGCAUGUAGCGGUGAAAUGCGUAGAGAUGCGGAGGAACACCAAUGGCGAAGGCAGCCUCCUGGAUCAACACUGACGCUGAGGCGCGAAAGCGUGGGGAGCAAACAGG
rnacentral:rRNA from 1 species